CUUUGUAUUAGGAGAUUCCACUUCAAUACUGAAAUUUGACUGAGUGGAAAUUUCUUGUCUUCACCGAGAUUUAAAGUUCAUCUAUGGAAAACAACUGAUGCCAAGUGGGGAAAAAAGAGGGCUACAAAUAGAGAAAAAAAAUGAGAAAGAAAAGCUCAUUUUCUGCAAACUACAUCAUGUUCAAGUCACUAUGCCAAGAUCAUAGGGACUUACAAUGUAACAUACUUGUGCCGUGUUUUUUUUUUUAAAUAAAAACUUUCAUCAGCCUGGAUGGUGGAGUAGGAAGACCCUGAGUUCACCUGUCAUGGGCAGAGCAAAAUGAC
ensembl:lncRNA